GCUGGGUGUGGUGGUGCUCACCUGUCAUUCUGGCUAUUUGGGAGGCUGAGGCAGGAGGACUGCAAGUCUGAGACCAGCCUGGGCAAUUUAGCAAGACCCUGCCUCAA
rnacentral:sRNA from 1 species